rnacentral:rRNA from 1 species
UCGAAAGUAAAUGCCCUCCGAGACGGAUCCCGAGUACCGCGGGACACGUGAAACCCCGUGGGAAUCUGGCAGGACCAUCUGCUAAGGCUAAAUACUCCCUGGUGACCGAUAGUGAAGCAGUACCGUGAGGGAAAGGUGAAAAGCACCCCGGAAGGGGAGUGAAAUAGAACCUGAAACAGUGUGCUUACAAGAAGUCAGAGCCCUAUACAUGGGUGAUGGCGUGCCUUUUGUAGAAUGAACCGGCGAGUUACGUUUGCGUGCAAGGUUAAGGUGAAGAGCUGGAGCCGAAGCGAAAGCGAGUCUGAAUAGGGCGAAUAAGUACGUAGGCGUAGACCCGAAACCGUGUGAUCUA